rnacentral:ncRNA from 1 species
AAGAUAGUUUUAUUCUUGCUACUUUAUUUGUUUUUUUCUUGCCUUAUAUGUAAGUUUUUGCGUGAUUUUUAGUUAAUCUUCUUGUUGGGGUUUAAGGUUAUUUUGUUGUUUGCAAUAAUUAUUUUUAUUUAUUGAGGUUACUCAGAUUUAGCAAUGUUUUUUAGCGUCGGCAAAAUUUGUGCCAGCAGCCGCGGUUAUACAUGGGACGCGUGUGAAUAAUUUUGGUUGGUAGUUCUAUUUUUUAAUUUUUGGGUUCAACUAUUUUGUUUUUUGGUGAAAUUUGAAUUUUUGUUUAUGCCCUCUUUUUUAUUUGUAGGCUAUGAGGUCUUUUCUAUAAACUAGGAUUAGAUACCCUAUUAUUUUUGAUGUAAAUUUAUUUAACCUGAGUAGUAUUAGUUAUGUUCUUGAAACUUAAAGAAUUUGGCGGUAUUUCAUUCUGUUCAGAGGAAUCUGCCUCGUUAUCGAUAAUCCGCGUUGGACCUUACUUGUUUUAAUUUGUUUGUAUACCGCCGUUAUAAUGAAGAUCUUUUUAGGGUUUCUGUAAUUUUCUUUUUCUAUGAUUUUGGUUUAUUUCAGGUCAAGGUGCAGCUGAUGGUCAAGUGUUUGGUGGAUUACAUUUAAUUAUUUAUUAUCGGAUCGCUGGUUGGAAUUUACUAGUGUGAAGUUGGAUUUGAUUGUAACUGAUUGAAUUUUGUUUUGGUGAUUUAUGUUUUGAAAUAUGCACACAUCGCCCGUCGCUCUCGUUAGUUUUAUUAGGCGAGAUAAGUCGUAACAAAGUGGUCGUACCGGAAGGUGUGGCUAGAAUGAUAU